CGCUAUCACUCCUACGGGGGAGGCAGCAGUAGGGAAUCUUCCACAAUGGGCGCAAGCCUGAUGGAGCAACACCGCGUGAGUGAAGAAGGGUUUCGGCUCGUAAAGCUCUGUUGUUAAAGAAGAACACGUAUGAGAGUAACUGUUCAUACGUUGACGGUAUUUAACCAGAAAGUCACGGCUAACUACGUGCCAGCAGCCGCGGUAAUACGUAGGUGGCAAGCGUUAUCCGGAUUUAUUGGGCGUAAAGAGAGUGCAGGCGGUUUCUAAGUCUGAUGUGAAAGCCUUCGGCUUAACCGGAGAAGUGCAUCGGAAACUGGAUAACUUGAGUGCAGAAGAGGGUAGUGGAACUCCAUGUGUAGCGGUGGAAUGCGUAGAUAUAUGGAAGAACACCAGUGGCGAAGGCGGCUACCUGGUCUGCAACCGACGCUGAGACUCGAAAGCAUGGGUAGCGAACAGGAUUAGAUACCCUGGUAG
rnacentral:rRNA from 1 species